rnacentral:rRNA from 1 species
UACAUAGGGACCAAGCGUUGUCCGGAAUCAUUGGGCGUAAAGCGCGCGUAGGUGGCCAUUUAAGUCCGCUGUGAAAGUCAAAGGCUCAACCUUUGAAAGCCGGUGGAUACUGGAUGGCUAGAGUACGGAAGAGGCGAGUGGAAUUCCUGGUGUAGCGGUGGAAUGCGCAGAUAUCAGGAGGAACACCGGUGGCGAAGGCGGUUCUCUGGGCCUGUACUGACGCUGAGGAGCGAAAGCGUGGGGAGCGAACAGG